CUGUCUUGAUUGCAGAAAUAGAAUUUUACUUUUGAGUGAAAAGGCUCAAAUGUGUUAAAGGGACGAUAAGACCCUAUAAAACUUUAUAUAAUGAGGUCAAUUUUUGAAUUUAGUGUUAAAGUGAAUUGGGCUUUAUUUAUUAUGUUGGGGCGGCAAAAAUAAAAUGAGUAACUGUUUAUAAAUUAAAAUAGAUAUAUUUAGAAGAGUGAUCCUUUUUUAGGGAUUAGAAGAAAAAGUUACUUUAGGGAUAACAGCGUAAUUUUUUCUGAGAGUUCUUAUCGACGAAAGUAGUUGCGACCUCGAUGUUGAAUUAAGAUUUCCCUAAGGGGUAGAAGUUUUAGUGGUAGGUCUGUUCGACCUUUGAAAUCUUA
rnacentral:rRNA from 1 species